ensembl:lncRNA
UCAGCGUGGGCAGUGGCCUCACAGACCCCAUCGUUUUGACCCUUCCUUCUCCUGUGUGCAGUAAUUAAUUGAACAUGCUCCGACAUGAUUUUUUUUACACAAGCUUGGAGAUGGGCCUGAUGUUCCCUCUGCAGCCAGCAAGCUUCCCCUCACAUCAGCAGGCUUGGGAACAGGCUUUUCCUGCAGUGAAUACACAUCUUCCCUCCGGGUUUUUUUGCUCUCCAAACCUUCCUUCCAGGUGUUUGCACCCUAAAUUCCUGUGUGCCACCAAAGGCAUUACUACACCAGGCAAAAGAAAUACCAAGAUUUCUUCUGAGGCUGAAGAGCCAGAGCUUUUUCAUUUUUUUCUGCAGUUCCUACAAGUUCCACAUUUCCAGUUCUACGGAGCGAAAUGGAUUGAGGUAGCGGUAAGAUCUCCAUACAGUGAACUGCAUAAAGAUACCAUAUGCAAACAGAGCUGUUUGUGUCUGAUGAACUUCAUCCUGCACAGAUGCACCUCAGGGCAACCCUGUCCAGCCUGGCCCCGUCUAAGGAGCAAAGUGUAGCUCAGGAUGCCCAGGUGACAGGUUGAGUGAUGCACUUUGGAGCAGCGAUUCUUCUUGCACUUUGUGAAAGAGCUUUUGCCAGUCAGCCUUGUCUGCAGUGACAGGAGACAGAGACACUCCUUGCUGGUUCUUUCUCAGCCUUCCUCUUGCUCUGUAUAUCCAGACCUCUUCCACAUCUUACUCUAUGGUCACUGCCCAGACUUCACUUGUGUGGUCAACAGAGUUGGAAAUCUUCCUUUCAAGUGUGCUCAUCUGAAACAGAUUUAAAGUAUUUGUACACCCUCCAGAUCCUUCAAAAUACCCCCUGAAGAUCAUCUUAAUUGUGUCUUCUGCAUGGGCAGCCACUGAACUCUUUGAGGACUUCACGGUGAAGAGUGUAAUCUCAAGUUCAGGAAGUUGCCUAACAGAGUCCCUUGGCUUGAUGAGAAAAGAGAAAACAAAAAUAAUAAUGAGUCAUUAAAGGCAAUCAAAAAUUAAUUCUGCAAUAAAUAUAUAUGCAAUCUGUCCCC